rnacentral:rRNA from 1 species
GACGAACGCUGGCGGCGUGCUUAACACAUGCAAGUCGAACGGAAAGGCCCUGCUUUUGUGGGGUGCUCGAGUGGCGAACGGGUGAGUAACACGUGAGUAACCUGCCCUUGACUUUGGGAUAACUUCAGGAAACUGGGGCUAAUACCGGAUAGGAGCUCCUGCUGCAUGGUGGGGGUUGGAAAGUUUCGGCGGUUGGGGAUGGACUCGCGGCUUAUCAGCUUGUUGGUGGGGUAGUGGCUUACCAAGGCUUUGACGGGUAGCCGGCCUGAGAGGGUGACCGGCCACAUUGGGACUGAGAUACGGCCCAGACUCCUACGGGAGGCAGCAGUGGGGAAUAUUGCACAAUGGGCGGAAGCCUGAUGCAGCAACGCCGCGUGCGGGAUGACGGCCUUCGGGUUGUAAACCGCUUUCGCCUGUGACGAAGCGUGAGUGACGGUAAUGGGUAAAGAAGCACCGGCUAACUACGUGCCAGCAGCCGCGGUGAUACGUAGGGUGCGAGCGUUGUCCGGAUUUAUUGGGCAUAAAGGGCUCGUAGGUGGUUGAUCGCGUCGGAAGUGUAAUCUUGGGGCUUAACCCUGAGCGUGCUUUCGAUACGGGUUGACUUGAGGAAGGUAGGGGAGAAUGGAAUUCCUGGUGGAGCGGUGGAAUGCGCAGAUAUCAGGAGGAACACCAGUGGCGAAGGCGGUUCUCUGGGCCUUUCCUGACGCUGAGGAGCGAAAGCGUGGGGAGCGAACAGGCUUAGAUACCCUGGUAGUCCACGCUGUAAACGGUGGGUACUAGGUGUGGGGUCCAUUCCACGGGUUCCGUGCCGUAGCUAACGCUUUAAGUACCCCGCCUGGGGAGUACGGCCGCAAGGCUAAAACUCAAAGGAAUUGACGGGGCCCCGCACAAGCGGCGGAGCAUGCGGAUUAAUUCGAUGCAACGCGUAGAACCUUACCUGGGUUUGACAUGGAUCGGGAGUGCUCAGAGAUGGGUGUGCCUCUUUUGGGGUCGGUUCACAGGUGGUGCAUGCCUGUCGUCAGCUCGUGUCGUGAGAUGUUGGGUUAAGUCCCGCAACGAGCGCAACCCUUGUUCACUGUUGCCAGCACGUUAUGGUGGGGACUCAGUGGAGACCGCCGGGGUCAACUCGGAGGAAGGUGGGGAUGACGUCAAGUCCUCAUGCCCCUUAUGUCCAGGGCUUCACGCAUGCUACAAUGGCUGGUACAGAGAGUGGCGAGCCUGUGAGGGUGAGCGAAUCUCGGAAAGCCGGUCUCAGUUCGGAUUGGGGUCUGCAACUCGACCUCAUGAAGUCGGAGUCGCUAGUAAUCGCAGAUCAGCAACGCUGCGGUGAAUACGUUCCCGGG